rnacentral:lncRNA from 1 species
AGUGACUCAUAGACCACAUUGACCUCUCAAGUUCUGGGCUUGUUCUAAACGGGUUGGUGCAAAUAGGCCAUGCACCUUACCUGGAUAUUCAUGAGUGCUUUAGAGAACUGCCUAAUUCUCAUAGGAAGCGGCCCCACUCCCACACCCAUAUAGGUGGAUCCAUCAAGUGUGUACUGCAAGUAGACAUACCAUCCUAAAGGACUAUGGUAUCCAUUAAAAGCUUUACCUCAUCCUCAUAUACUGCAGUUGGCACUAUCUACACCAUAGGGAGGGAUUCUCAAAAUUAAAUAUGAUAGUGUACUCACAGUCAACAAGCGACUCGUUAUUACCCAUAUGAACAUGCUUCA